rnacentral:rRNA from 1 species
UGGUGACCAUAGCAGAGUUGAAACACACGUUCCCAUCCCGAACACGUAAGUGAAACGCUCUCACGCCGAUGGUACUGCGGCCCGUCCGUGGGAGAGUAGGUAGUUGCCAG